GGGGGGGGGGGGGGGGGGGGGGGGGAGGGGCGAGGGGGGGGGCAGGGGAGUAGGGGCUGGGGGGGAGGGGGGGGGAGGGGGGGAGGGGUGGGGAAGACAGCGGAACCUCGGCUGUGGGCGGGGAUAAGGUAGGGGAAGUUAAGAUAAUACCGCAGAGGACCGAAGGGUGUGGGGGGGGGAUCUUCGGAGAUAGCGGGGACGCAUGAACCGAUGUCGGAGUAGCGCGUUGGCUGGGUAAAGGCACACCAAGGCGACGAUCCGUAGCUGGGCUGAGAGGAUGAUCAGCCACACUGGAACUGAGACACGGUCCAGACUCCUACGGGAGGCAGCAGUGGGGAAUAUUGGACAAUGGGCGCAAGCCUGAUCCAGCCAUACCGCGUGAGUGAAGAAGGCCUUCGGGUUGUAAAGCCCUUUUGUUGGGAAAGAAAAGCAGCAGGUUAAUACCCCGCUGUUCUGACGGUACCCAAAGAAUAAGCACCGGCUAACUUCGUA
rnacentral:rRNA from 1 species